CUUGGAUUCAAGGGAGCUCCU
rnacentral:miRNA from 1 species